rnacentral:misc_RNA from 1 species
CAACCCUUAAGCCCCCGUUGCUUAGUGUUGGGAGCCUACCACGCCCGGCGCGCGUAGCUCCCCAAAGUUAGUGGCAGAGACGGUCCGUGCUCUAGGUGCAGUAGAUUCUUCAUCUCGCCUAUGGCCGGGCCUAUCCCUCGCCGUAAAACCCGCCAUGUCCGUGGCGAAUUUUGCAAGG